UUCGGCCAGACCCACUCCCUUCGCCCCAUAAAGUCUACGUGGUUUAUGAACGGUCCCAAAACACGAUUUUUGAGAAUUUGGGACGGGCUGGAUCCUGGACGAUCUCCCUAAUGGUUCCCCUGUUACAAAGAAAACUAUGAAAUAUCAGGAUAAGUUGCCAUCAUCACACUCAUACGUGGUUCGUUAGUGAUGGGUGACAACUCUAGGCUUGUUUUUGCUUAUAUGUAUAGCACGUUAGCGUCGCUCUUUCGUCGUCGUCGUUUUCUCUCACAUUCUCUCUUGCAAUAGAAAUACACUAGAACGCCAAUGGCGCUGUACUCAGUUUUAAUAUUUAAUUAUUUUAAUAACUUUAGUUGUAAUAAUUGAUUAUGUUUAAGUGCCCAUCUUGUAGAGGACCUUUUGUUUUGGUAAACAAAAUUUAUUUGACACUUAUAGUACCGCUCCUGACGCUGUAAGGGCGAGGCAAACUAUGUUAGUCACACGAACAGCCACGACAUUGGAUUUCUGUGGCUGGUUAUUCUAAUGUCGUGGCGGUCGUCGCGCACCAACUUAAGCAGGCUGUUACACCUGUCGGGUGAAAAAUGCUGGUCCGGAUCACUAAAUUGGCCAUAAUUCCUAAACGCCUUGACCGAUCCGAAUCAUUUUCAAUAGCAAACAAUGCGGUAAAAUUCCGGUUCGAUUCGAGCUAUAAUCCGAAAAAUCGGCAUAUGGGAAGUGCCUUAAAAGUGAGUGAACUUAUUUUGUUCACAGACACACAUACAUACACACAUACAGACAUCAUCUCAAUUCGUCGAACUGAGUUGAUUGGUAUAUGCGACUUGACCCUCCGAGCCUCCUAUCGAAAAUUUUUUUUUUGAGUGAACAUAUAGCCUUUCAGUUCACUUAGGUGAACGAGAAAGGCAAAAAGGACGAGGUGUAUGUAUACAUUUUGACCUAAAUAAAUGAAAAUGACGAUUCCAAUAAUUUCCCAAACCAGUCUAACAGCGGAGUAGGUUUCCACUUCAACCACCCGAAGGGAAUGUAAACAAACAAACCCCAUUUUCCCACAACUGAAACGAAGAGAGCAAGAAGCCAACAUACACCACGUGCUUACCCGACGGGCAAGGUCAAGUUCUAACGCCUAACCUGAUGCUUGCCAACGAACUGUUGAAGAGCUAUGUCGUCGUUGUCGUCGUCGCUUUCGAACAUCCGAGCGCGCAGGCUCGAGUUCGAAACCAGCCAGUCAGUUGCGUCCGUAGUACCUAGUCGUCGGCGGCCGGUGUGUCGCGCGAAAAGCAUUCUCACGUUUCAUCGUUCCGUUCCAUUUCGAACAUUCAACAGUUCGUCCUGAAUAAAUUAAGCAACAGUUUCAAACCGGAGCUUCAGUCUUCGUCGGUGUUUGCUUCAGUGCGGUUCGGGUUCUCGGUUUCGGUCCCAAAGGUCCCGGUGUGAUAAGGAUUGGAGACAAGUGGCAGAUUCUUCCCUCCCAAAAAGGGUCGCGGUGGGUGGGGCAGCUUUGCUUGCGCCAUUCACACCCUCAGCCUCCGGGAACGUGGAACGUCCGGUUUGCGCCAAGUAUCUACCAUCCGUCCGUCGGUCGUCGGUCGUAUACGGGCGGAACGAGUGCCACCAGAGUGUGACCGCCAGCCAGCUACAAGCAUCAUGUGGUGAAGUGCUUGAAAAUUGCUAAUCCAUAUAGUGCCCGGCGCUGACUUACAAUCCGAUGCUUCUGUAAGUUGGCUGGAUUUAGGAGAAGAAUAGAAGAAGCAACGAAGAUAAUCUCGUGAGUUAGCUGUGGCAGUGCAGUUUGUGGGUGCCUCUAUGACACCAUCAUAUCGGUGUGAUCAUAACGAUAAAUGCACAUUGGCGGCUUCCGGAGGAAGAGAGUUGUUUGAAGGGAACUUUUCUACUUAAUUGGUUUAUGAUUCUUCUCGUGUAAAUGGAGACAAUCCGAGUUCUUACUUAUCUGCUGACGAAACUCCAUUUGAAUCAUAGAGCUAAAUCCAUGACGUUCAAUCAACUGCUCAAAUGGAACGUAAUUCAAAGAUCUUUCCCAGUAAGUCUAGAGGAUAAUUAGUCGCCAACCUGGAGGAAAAAAAAGUUAAAUUCUUGGUAUAUUGGGCAUGUUAUGACAAGUAAAGAAGGCUCACAUUUAAGGCCGGACGGGACGGUGGUUGAAUCGUCCGCCAUUGCUCUGUUGCUAGUAAGAUGCAAAUCUCAACUUCUACUUCAUAUUAUUGACUAAACAUUUGAUCGUUCAUUUGCUCACUUGUGGUGCACAAUCGACUUAAGUUUCAGCUACGUCAGUGCAGUGGAAAUUGAUAUUUGCUUCUUCAAAAUCGCGAGGCAAAUUGUUAGAAAGAGAGGGAAGAUAGGAAAAAUUACACGUCCUCCCGUGUGGCCUUAAUGAAAGCAUUGAAUACUAUACAUUUUAAGCUUAAAAGGCUGACCAGACCAUACUAGUGUUAGAGAGAAGCAACUUUUCAAAAAAGUUAAAGUAAUUUCCAGAAAAUUUUAAAUAAUUCCAAACCAAUUAGUUGAAACUGUUCGAAUAAUUGCAUAUAUUUCUUUAACUGACUUCACGUGCAACUCAGUUUGGUAUAUUUUCGAAGUACAAAAAACCCAGAUAAAUUCACCUAAUGGUGAUAGUGCCUUUCUUGUCGAAUAUGUACUCAUAAAUUUACCGUCAACGUAAGCGAAAAUGUUCCUGAAUCCUGAAAACACUUUAUAAAGAAAAGCAACAAUUUUAACAAAGCCAUCAUCGAUUUGGGAAACUUAUUGAUGGUACAUAUUCCGAUGUAAUGUUCAACAGCAAAACAGAGCUGAAAUAUAUCAGACCUCUCAGUUGACUGCUUGACCACCUUAACCCUAGCCGUGUAUUGGGGUCAUUAUGACUCCAUUCCUUGAACUGAGGUAGCGGGGUGAGCGUCAGCUAAUGCAUGAAGAAUGGUUAACUUUAUUCACAACCACAGAUCACUUUGUGGUCUUCACAAGUGUUUAUUUCAGCACACUUUAGGCUAUAUUUUAUUACCAUUGGUAACACGAUUCAAGUAAAAUUUUACCUGCUUACGAGAAUAAUGCAGAAAAAGUAAAUUUUCCAUUCGAAUUUCAAACGCAAUGAGAAGAGCGAGGGCUCAACCAGCCGCACCCAAAUUGUGAGCAGUAUUUUUAGAAGCAAAAGGAGAUUGAAGCUUGAAAAAAAUGUAUAAGGUGUUGAUGCGAUUAAACUAUUUUUUUUUCCAUAACACGUUGGUCCAUCCUACUAUACAUUUACACCGCUGGAAUCUGAAAUGGUGUGAUUUGAAGAGAUCGCUUUGGUCACGAUUUUGUUCUCUUGCAUAUAUAAAGACUUUGACCAUUUCUUCACUUAAUCUUACCCAAUGUUUACAGGCUAUCAAAAAAGCCACGAUUUGGUUUUUCGCUUUGACCUGUAUUUUGUAUCUGUAUUAACGAGAUUUUUAGCCCUAGGCUAGUUCAUCUCGGGACCCACGCUUUACUUCCCUUCCGAAGGAAAAACUCACAUAUUGCGAGUUUGUCGGGAGUGGGGUUCGAUCCCAGGUCCUCGGCGUGAUAGUCAAGUGUUCUAACCAUCACACCAGGUCCGCUCCACACGCUUUGACCUGUAUUUUGUUUACUUUUACAAUUCCACUAUUUGAUGUGCAGCUUGCAUGAGUUUUGUUAAAUUUUACACCGUGGUCAAUAAGUUCCCAUACAAAAUACAAAUUUAGAAAAUAUAUUUUUUUUUUCACAUCUUUCAUUCAUGUUUCCAAAAUGAAUGCAUGUAUUGAAGGGCCACAAAAUACUGGUUAAAUAAAGCGUACGGUUUAGGGGAACGUUAUUUUCUAUUUGUUUUAAUAAGUCGAGCAGUACACUUCCGUUUUCUGAAAUCUGUUUGCUCCGGCACGCAAGUUUGUCGAAAGUUUGUCAUUCAACGGUAGCUAAAUAGAGUCCAUAAGGUUAAAUUUUGAGUUUUUACCCCAGGUAUUGUACCAAAUGGAUAUACUAAGACUGAAACAAUACAUUGUUGGUGAUGAUCUGGUAAGAAAUUUGCUAGUAAGCUUCACUUGAGCUGGUUUCCUUGAAAAUGAUCUUUGUAUUAACCUUCCUACGGUGUUCGGGUCAAUAUGACCCGGAUCGCACUUUUCAGGCGCAAUAUCUUUUGAUCCUGAUGUGCUAUAGCUUUGAAACUUUGUGACUUUAAAUCUUUUGCCAAAAACUUAUUUUUAAAAUUUUGACCGAUAAUUUUGGCCGUUUCUGAAGGGCUGGACAAAAAAAGUUACGUUUAAGGUGUUCGGGUCAUAUUGACCCGGAUUUGGUACAAUGAUUUCACAGUCAUUUCUCAAUAAAAUAAUAAAGUUUUUAUACUCAAAGUUAUCGUUAGGGCUUAAAUUUUGUGGAUCCGGCUCUAAACUAAAGCUCGGUUGGAUGUGGCCACUUGGAACCGACGCCAGAGGGACCAUGGUUUGGCCAUUUUCGCAGGAGGGUAUUUUUCGCAAUAAGUUAUGCGAAAUGCAGCUGAUUUGAUUGUUUGGAGUGCUAAAUGCACCGGAAAAAGCAGCAUCAAACUGCCCCAACCACUAAGCUAACUGACCAGAUGAGUUUUGGCUAUCAGGUGGCCACGGGACUAAAUCUUGAGGCCUCGGAACGGCUUCCCGGAGACCCCCGAUAGGUGACCAUUUUACAAAUAUGGUGAAUCCAUGCCGUGCGACAUAUCAAAAGUUGCAGAAUUUUAUGGAGAAUACAUCUAUGACCAUGUCAGAAGCCAGAAGCAAGAUUGGCCACUUGGUGGUCCCGGAACCGAUUCCCGGGGCCCCGGAAAUGUGGCCAAUUCUCGCAGUUUAUAUGAGCUUGCCGUAUGGCACAUCGCAAUUCGCAGAAUUUCAUUGAUAAUUCACCAGUCAUCAAACCAGCAACUGAAGACAACAUUGUCCGCUUGGUGAUCUCGGAAUCGGUUCCCAGGGCCGGUUCCGAGGCCCCCAGAAAUGUGGUCAAUUCUCGAUUUUUUUUUACUAUGCCGUGCGACAUAUCUAAAUUUGCAGAAUUUUGUUGCGAAUAUAUCAGUGGCAACAUCAGAUACAAAAAGCAGGAUUGGCCACUUAGUGGUCCUGGAACAGGUUCCCGGUAACCGGUUCCCAGGACUCCGAAAAUGUGGCCAAUUCUCGCAGUUUGUAUGACCUUGCCGUAUGGAACAUCAAAAUUCUCAGAACAACAUGUGUAGGUAAUUCAUCAGUCAUCAAACAAGCAACAGGAAACAACAUUGUCCACUUGGUGGUCCCGGAGCCGGUUCCCAGGACCGGUUCCAAGGACCCCCAAAGUGUGAUCAAUUCUCGAAUUUUUUUACCAUGCCGUGCUAAUUUUUCAGAAUUUUGAUGCGAAUAUAUCAGUGGCCACAUCAGAUACGAAAAGCAGGAAUGGCCACUUGGAGGUCCCGGACCCGGAUCCGGAGGCCCCGGAAAUGUGGCCAGUUCUCGCAUUGUGUAUAACCGUCUCAUGUGGCACAUCAAAAUUCGCAGAAUUUCAUAGAUAAUUCAUCAGUUAUCAAACCAGCACAUCAAAAUUCGUAGAAUUUCAUAGAUAAUUCAUCAGUUAUCAAACCAGCAACUGAAGACAACAUUAUCUACCUGGUGGUUCCGGAACAGGUUCCCGGGACCGGUUCUCAAGACCUCGGCAAUGAGAUCAAUUCUCGCAUUUUCUAUGAUCAUGCUGUCCGAUGCAUCGAAAUGUGCAGAAUUUUGAUGCUCACAUCAGAUAUCAGAGGCAGAAUUAGCCACUCGGUUAUCCUGAAACCUGUUCCCAGGACCCCGAGAAUGUGGCCAAUUCUCGCAUUUUGUAUGACUAUCUCGUGCGGCACUUCAAAAUUCUCAGAAUUUUAUAAUGAAUUCAUCAGUUUUCAAGCCAACUACGGGAAACAACAUUGUCCACCUAGUAGUCGCGGAAGCGAUUAACAGGACCCCGGAAAAGUGCUCAAUUCCCGCAUAGUCUUUGAUCACGCUGUCCGAUCUAUCAAGAGUUACAGAAUUUUGAUGCGAAUACAUCAGUGGCCAAGUUGAAUGCCAAAAACAGGAUUGGCCACUAGAUGGUUCGAAACCCGGUUCCCUGGACACCUGGAAUGUGCCGUGAGACUUAUCAAAAUUCAUAGAAUUUCAUAGAUAGUUCAUCAAUUAUCGAACAACUGGAAACAUCAUUGCAUUGUCCACCUGAUGGUCCCGGAGCCGCUUCUCGGAGAAAUGUUGUCAAUUUUUGUGCUAACCCGAUCACCAAAUUUGCAAGGUUGUUGUCCGGCAUUCUUGCAAUAUGCCCUGCUCAUCGUAUUCUUCUAUUCAUCCUUUACCGCCAGUCACCCUUCUACUUCACACCGCCGAGGAUUAGUACGCAACGGUCGAAACUCCAAAAUACUUGUAGGUUCCACUCAAGCAUGGUCCGUGUCUCGUGUCCAUAGAGGACCACCGGUCUUAUUGGCGUUUUGUUCAUGGUACAUUUGAUGCGUUAGUGAACCUUUAAGACCGCAGCUACUUACACUGAUGGUACGCGUUCGAAUUGCACAACUAAUUUUGUUGACAGCUGUCAGUAAAGAUCCGAUGUAGACGAAUUUAUCCACCUCCUCGAAGGUAUCCCUGUAUUUCGUUACAUUACUGUCUAGACGGAUCCGGUCGUGUUCCGUUCAGCCUACCAGCAUGUACUUUGUUUGUGCCGCAUUCACUAUCACUGCGACCUUUGCUGCUUCGUGUUUCAGGUGAAUGUCCGUCUCCUUGUCGCAGUUCCCAGCGAAAUUUGAAUGAAUGGAUAGUUCACCUGAAACCCACAUUUAUGUGCAAUGUGCAAAUUUGCUGCAUUUCCAACUUUCCAGAAACUGGGUCCUACGCCGCUAGGUGGCGAAUAUUUCCAUGUAGUACUAACAUGCUAACUUUCUUUUACAUUUUGAAUAUUGAUGAAAGUCUGAAAAUUUUGAUGUGCCAUGAGCUUGAGCUUGAUUAUUCGCCAGCAGUUGCUACACCAGUAUCGCCAAAUCAGCUUCACUCACACAAGGAACCAAUGAGAUAGCUGCUCGGAAUAUUCAGUGUUGGUAGUGUUCUCUUUUUUGGCGAGAACGGCGCCUCAGGUUGCAGGUCAAUGUGGAGACCGAGGGGAACAUAGGCAAAACAACAUAGGGGAACAUUGGCAAAUUUUCAUAGUUGUGGCUUUCACAACCAGAGGCGCGCGCAUCAUUUUUCUAUGCGUUUGAUGUUUCACAUUAGCGCCUUCUGUUGACGAUAUUGCACAACACAGUGAUUCGUGCAACUUUUCCACCAGGUGAUGGUAGUGUGAACUGGGCGAUGGAUUUCCAUGAAAAUCAUUCAAGGUGUUACGUCUGUUUGUCUGUGGUCCUACCCUCUACGCCCACCCAAACAUGCCCACCUGCACGCCAUCUACUGUUGGUUCUAAUUUGUAAACAUCUUUUGUUUAA